AAUUCCAGCUUCUUCAUCCAGCUACAUAUUCACCUACAAGUACAAAAUUCCCAUUGCCAAUUAGAGGAUGCCCUGGUGCUGAUUCUGCUCUAGUCACUUGGUGAUUUAGGUCAAUGCUUCUCACAUUUCAACAGGCAAACAAACUACUUAAGUCUUGCUGAAGUCCAGAUUCUGAUUUGGUAGAUCCUGAAAUGUAACCUGAGACUCUUUGUAACUAAUGAGUUCCUGGUGAUCAUGCUGCGGCUUGUCCCCCAUACUUUGAGUUGCAAGGAUCUACCCAGAGUUGGAUUGUACUUCUCAAACAGAAAGAGAAGCCCCUACUGGACCAAUAAGUCUUAAUAGAGCAUACUUCUGUGCUUCCAUUAAUUCUAGCAGUUACUUUAAAGUCAUAAACUGGACUAAAGUCUUCUGCCAAGGCUUGGAUUACUGGAGCAACAAAGCCUUUUGUAUCUGUUAGGAAAGAACUAUCUGUCAGGAUGAUCUGACCUGAUUUUCUGGACCUCAUCAGGUUUGGGUCCAAGUGAGGCUGCACAUCUGGCCAAGGAGAACUGGUCUGUGUGUAAGGCAGAGUGUCAACUUAGUUACAAGUCACACAUGUGGACACACAAGCCUACAACUUCGACCUCUGGCACAUCCUAUGUCCCCUAUUAAAGCAUUUCAUCAGCAAUGUAAAUAUUACCAAGAAGUUGCUAAGGAAAAGCCUUUUGGCAACUAGAUGGUCUGUCUUCAAUGUUCAUCACGAAUCCACUGGAGCUAACAAAUCGUGAAAUUGUUGACAACCCUGGUUGUACAGCAUCCUGAAGUGAGAGAAAUGCCAACAAUUAUGCCAGAAGGAAAGCUUUAAGGAUAUUCUACAUCCUGGCUUCAAACAACAAAGCUUUACUGCAGACUGCAAGGAAGUGGCAGACACAAGGAAAUGAGGCUGGUGCAUUGAAAUCCACAAAGGAAGAACUUUUCUCAGAACAGAGACUUCACAAGCUCACUAUUAGUUUAAGAUCUAGAGCUACAAACAGUCACAGCCUCUCAAAAGCCCAGCUAUAGUCCAAUCAAAGAACUAUCUUCACACUGGGCAAUACGGAAAAAGCUGUUGAAUCAACAUUCAUCCUAACAGUCACACUUAUACAUAAUGGGGCAUGAUUAGGUUUGCGAGACAGAGGAGCAGACAGUGAAAGUUGAGGAGGGGAAUAUUUAAGAUAGUCUUGGGGACUCUAUGGGAGAGAGGAAAAUGGAUCAUUCAAAAGCAGCUCCCAAGAUGGAAGUCCAGAGAGGAGAGCAACUGGCCAAGGUCACUUUACUACACGUGGAAGAGAGAGG